UUUAAAAUGAGAGUUUGAUCCUGGCUCAGGAUGAACGCUGGCGGCGUGCCUAAUACAUGCAAGUCGAACGCUUUGUGCUUAAUUGAUAUGACGAGCUUGCUCUGAUUUGAUUUUUUGAUUUCAAAGAGUGGCGAACGGGUGAGUAACACGUGGGUAAC
rnacentral:rRNA from 1 species